GCAAGUCGAACGCGGAGACCCAGCAAUGGGUUUGUAGCGUGGCAAACGGGUGAGUAACGCGUGGGCGACCUACCUUCGAGCGGGGGAUAACCUUCCGAAAGGAGGGCUAAUACCGCAUGACAUCCCGUGUUUAGAUACACGGAGAUCAAAGCCGGGGAUCGCAAGACCUGGCACUUGAAGAGGGGCCCGCGUCCGAUUAGCUAGUUGGCGAGGUAAUGGCUCACCAAGGCUCCGAUCGGUAUCCGGCCUGAGAGGGCGGACGGACACACUGGAACUGAGACACGGUCCAGACUCCUACGGGAGGCAGCAGUGGGGAAUUGUUCGCAAUGGGCGCAAGCCUGACGACGCAACGCCGCGUGGAGGAUGAAGACCUUCGGGUCGUAAACUCCUUUCGACCGAGAUGAAGAGGCUCCGACCUAACACGUCGGAGUCCUGACAGUAUCGAGGGAAGCAGCCCCGGCUAACUCCGUGCCAGCAGCCGCGGUAAUACGGGGGGGGCAAGCGUUGUUCGGAAUUACUGGGCGUAAAGGGUUUGUAGGUGGCCGACUAAGUCAGACGUGAAAUCCCUCAGCUUAACUGGGGAACUGCGUCUGGGACUGGUCGGCUUGAGGGCCGGAGAGGAACGCGGAAUUCCAGGUGUAGCGGUGAAAUGCGUAGAUAUCUGGAGGAACACCGGUGGCCAAAGCC
rnacentral:rRNA from 1 species